rnacentral:rRNA from 1 species
CUUGGUCAUUUAGAGGAAGUAAAAGUCGUAACAAGGUUUCCGUAGGUGAACCUGCGGAAGGAUCAUUACCGAACCGUCGACACGAGUUGUUGCUGGUCCUCAAAUGGGGGCAUGUGCACACUCUGUUUACUCAUCCACUCACACCUGUGCACCCACUGUAGUUCUGUGGCUUGGGGGGCUCUGUCCUCUUUGCUGUGGUUCUAUGUCUUUACACACACACUGUAAUAAAGUUUCAUGGAAUGCAUGACGCGUCUAACGCAAUACAAUACAACUUUCAGCAACGGAUCUCUUGGCUCUCGCAUCGAUGAAGAACGCAGCGAAAUGCGAUAAGUAAUGUGAAUUGCAGAAUUCAGUGAAUCAUCGAAUCUUUGAACGCACCUUGCGCCCUCUGGCUAUUCCAGAGGGCAUGCCUGUUUGAGUAUCAUGAACACCUCAACUCUCAUGGUUUUGCCGUGAUGAGCUUGGACUUUGGGGGUCUUGCUGGCCUGUGGUCAGCUCCUCUCAAACGAAUCAGCUUGCCAGUGUCUGGUGGCAUCACAGGUGUGAUAACUAUCUACGCUUGUGGUUUUCCACCAGGUAACCUUCAGUGAUGGAGGUUCGCUGGAGCUCAUAAAUGUCCCUCCUCAGCGAGGACAGCUUCUUGAAUGUUUGAUCUCAAAUCAGGUAGGGCUACCCGCUGAACUUAAGCAUAUCAAUAAGCGGAGGA